rnacentral:rRNA from 1 species
AGCGUUGUCCGGAAUCAUUGGGCGUAAAGCGUGUGUAGGCGGCCCGGUAAGUCCGUUGUGAAAGUCGGGGGCUCAACCCUCGGAUGCCGGUGGAUACUGUCGGGCUCGAGUACGGAAGAGGCGAGUGGAAUUCCUGGUGUAGCGGUGAAAUGCGCAGAUAUCAGGAGGAACACCAAUUGCGAAGGCAGCUCGCUGGGACGUUACUGACGCUGAGACGCGAAAGCGUGGGGAGCAAACAGG